UUAUGUAUUUCUUUUGUUUUCUGAUGCAUGUGAUUUAUUGACGAGUCCUUUGGGACUUAGGCCUUUAUCCUUGCAUUGCUAAGGGGCCAUUAAGGCCCGAUGUCCUCUCUUCCUUGGGUCAGCUAGCAGGGAACCAAUGAACAGGGCUGGAGAACGUUAAAUAUAGGCUGGAAAUCGAACUUUCAGUUCCCGGAAAGUUGAAAGANNNNNNNN
rnacentral:lncRNA from 1 species